rnacentral:rRNA from 1 species
GUGUCAGCAGCCGCGGUAAUACGUAGGGGGCGAGCGUUGUCCGGAUUUAUUGGGCGUAAAGAGCUCGUAGGCGGUUCGGUAAGUCAGAUGUAAAAACUCCAGGCUCAACUUGGAGAGGCCAUCUGAUACUGCCGUGACUAGAGUCCGGUAGAGGAGCACGGAAUUCCUGGUGUAGCGGUGAAAUGCGCAGAUAUCAGGAGGAACACCAGCGGCGAAGGCGGUGCUCUGGGCCGGAACUGACGCUGAGGAGCGAAAGCGUGGGGAGCGAACAGGAUUAGAUACCCUCGUAGUCC